UCCUCUCGUUAAUGAUCGCGUUGCUAUAGGUUUUGUGAAUGGAGGCUGUUCUGCUGUGAGUAUAUCGGGGUGCUCUGUGCUCCCCUCGUUAAUGAUCGCGUUGCUAUAGGUUUUGUGAAUGGAGGCUGUUCUGCUGUGAGUAUAUCGGGGUGCUCUGUGCUCCCCUCGUUAAUGAUCGCGUUGCUAUAGGUUUUGUGAAUGGAGGCUGUUCUGCUGUGAGUAUAUCGGGGUGCUCUGUGCUCCCCUCGUUAAUGAUCGCGUUGCUAUAGGUUUUGUGAAUGGAGGCUGUUCUGCUGUGAGUAUAUCGGGGUGCUCUGUGCUCCCCUCGUUAAUGAUCGCGUUGCUAUAGGUUUUGUGAAUGGAGGCUGUUCUGCUGUGAGUAUAUCGGGGUGCUCUGUGCUCCCCUCGUUAAUGAUUUCAGUUGUGUUGCACAGUCGAAACACAGCUGUCUGCGGAACGAGUGAUUUCGGAGAUACAGACACGGAGAUGACUUCAAGGAGGAGGAAACAAAGAUGUCUCCACAGCUGCAUGGGAACCUCAGCAUUUCCCCGGUUCAUUAUUAAUAGCGGGCUGUCAAGACUUGUCAGCGGGUCGAGCGAGGUGAGAUAAAGACACACACAGGAUUAUUUAAAGUCGUUCGUGACUCGCAUGACUCUGAACAGGUCUGUGUUUCUCUCUCGUCAUGAACCAGCUGCUGCCCAACCCAAGGAACUGCUUUGAAGACAUUUCCUUCCUGUGUCAUGUGACCCGCAGCUCGCUUCAGCUACAGUGAAGAGGAGCGCUUGUGCGAGUCGAUUUUAUACUUCGUAUUGUUGAGGAUAGUGGAUAAUAAAACUAUAUCCAUAAUAAUAAUAAUAAUAAUAAUAAUAAUAAUAAUAAUAAUAAUAAUAAUAAUAAUAAUAAUAAUAAUAACAACAACACACAUAAAUAUAAUACUAAUAAUCAGAGUUGAAAGUCAGUCGGUACGACCCGGAACUGCAUACCGGCAAAACAUCUUGUCAAGAGGAGAAACACAGCUAACUGAGGAACGAGUGAUUCAGUAGAGAGAGGCAUGGACCCGACUCCAAGGAGAAGAAGAAGGAGGAAAGAGAAUGACCCGCCUGAUAUGUCACAAGAGCCUGCCAGACAGACAGAGAUCUCUAUGCGCUGUGUUGGGGUCCAGUGUGAGCUGACAGGAAUCUGAUUGAAGAGAAGAGGACGGGUAGAGGAGAGACGGUUAGAAAAGUCAAAUCACUGAGAAACUCAACAGUCAUUGUC